rnacentral:misc_RNA from 1 species
GAUGAAGAACGCAGCAAAAUGCGAUAAGUAAUGUGAAUUGCAGAAUUCAGUGAAUCAUCGAAUCUUUGAACGCACAUUGCGCCCGCCAGUAUUCUGGCGGGCAUGCCUGUUCGAGCGUCAUUUCAACCCUCAAGCCCCCGGGUUUGGUGUUGGGGAUCGGCGAGCCUCACGGCAAGCCGGCCCCGAAAUACAGUGGCGGUCUCGCUGCAGCUUCCAUUGCGUAGUAGUAAAACCCUCGCAACUGGUACGCGGCGCGGCCAAGCCGUUAAACCCCCAACUUCUGAAUGUUGACCUCGGAUCAGGUAGGAAUACCCGCUGAACUUAAGCAUAUCAAUAAGCGGAGGA